AUUGAACGCUGGCGGCAGGCCUAACACAUGCAAGUCGAACGAGUGGCGGACGGGUGAGUAAUGUCUGGGAAACUGCCCGAUGGAGGGGGAUAACUACUGGAAACGGUAGCUAAUACCGCAUACCAUCGGAUGUGCCCAGAUGGGAAUAGCUAGUAGGUGGGGUAACGGCUCACCUAGGCGACGAUCCCUAGCUGCUCUGAUAGGAUGACCAGCCAAACUGGAACUGAGACACGGUCCAGACCCCUGCGGGAGGCAUCAGUGGGGAAUAUUGCACAAUGGGAGCAAGCCUGAUGCAGCCAUGCCGCGUGUAUGAAGAAGGCCUUCGGGUUGUAAAGUACUUUAAGCGAGGAGGCGUUACUCGCAGAAGAAGCACCGGCUAACUCCGUGCCAGCCGCCGCGGUAAUAC
rnacentral:rRNA from 1 species